AUGUCACAUCCUUUUCAGGGAACCAACAACCAGCUCUCACUGCUUGAAAAGAUGAAUCAACGCGUGACAGAGGAAUACAGUAACUACGGAGAUGUUGCAUCCGGUCUGCGGGUCUUUGUAGAACAGCUGAAUGAGAAAAACCAACGGUUUGACGAGUACACAACGCAGAUCGACGCGAUAGACCAGCAGGUGAGUGAGUUUGAGGCAGUGGUGUCCAUGCUUGAUAAGCAUGUCUCCAUGUUGGAAAAGAAAGUGAAGUCCGCAUAUCACAUUGCUCCUACACAAUGA
rnacentral:rRNA from 1 species